UACGAAGGGGGCUAGCGUUGUUCGGAAUUACUGGGCGUAAAGCGCGCGUAGGUGGUUUGUUAAGUUGGAUGUGAAAUCCCCGGGCUCAACCUGGGAACUGCAUCCAAAACUGGCAAGCUAGAGUAUGGUAGAGGGUGGUGGAAUUUCCUGUGUAGCGGUGAAAUGCGUAGAUAUAGGAAGGAACACCAGUGGCGAAGGCGACCACCUGGACUGAUACUGACACUGAGGUGCGAAAGCGUGGGGAGCAAACAGG
rnacentral:rRNA from 1 species